AAGGCGGCUAUCUGGAUGAGUAUUGACACUGAGGCUCGAAAGCGUGGGGAUCAAACAGGAUUAGAUACCCUGGUAGUCCACGCCAUAAACGAUGAAUGCUAGUUGUUGGGGGCUACGCCCUCAGUGACGUCGCUAACGCAUUAAGCAUUCCGCCUGGGGAGUACGGCCGCAAGGUUAAAACUCAAAGAAAUUGACGGGGACCCGCACAAGCGGUGGAGCAUGUGGUUUAAUUCGAGGCAACGCGAAGAACCUUACCAGGCCUUGACAUGUCCUCUAUGGACUCCAGAGAUGGAGUUCUUCACUUCGGGUGGGAGGAACACAGGUGCUGCAUGGCUGUCGUCAGCUCGUGUCGUGAGAUGUUGGGUUAAGUCCCGCAACGAGCGCAACCCUCGUCCUUAGUUGCCAUCAUUCAGUUGGGAACUCUAAGGAAACUGCCUACGAUAAGUAGGAGGAAGGUGGGGACGACGUCAAGUCAUCAUGGCCCUUACGGCCUGGGCUACACACGUGCUACAAUGGCGGUGACAGUGGGCAGCGAGCGUGCGAACGCAAGCUAAUCCCUAAAAGCCGUCUCAGUUCGAAUUGCACUCUGCAACUCGAGUGCAUGAAGCUGGAAUCGCUAGUAAUCGUAGAUCAGCAUGCUACGGUGAAUACGUUCCCGGGUCUUGUACACACCGCCCGUCACACCAUGGAAGUUGCUUCUGCCUUAAGCAGGUGAGCCAAUCU
rnacentral:rRNA from 1 species